UCAGAGUGUUGGACUGUCGAACUGGCCCUUAACUCCCCGCAGCAGACUCUCCCCUUGACACAUUUUACAGGGCUUCACCAACAACGGCAAGACGACCAUCGCCACCCUAUAUCCCUUGGCGCAGGAGCUCAUCGGCCAGCGCACGGGACUCUCUCACAGGGACAUACUAUUGGCCAACACCAUGUACGGCUGCAUCAAUAAGUGGCUUGCUGCUUGCGGAGUGAACGCCGACCCCUGCCAGAACGGCGGGUUUUAUGGAAAAAGCUGCGCUUGUGUGUGUCCCUCGGGCACCUCUGGGGCCAACUGUCAGACAGUGACAGGAGACUACUACGACGAGUUGACGAAUCCCUACACUGAGAAAGUAACUCAGGAAGGCCUCCUCACCUCGCCGGGCUAUCCAAGCAACUACCCAAAUA